UUCAGUCUGUGGAGACGUGUCGUUCGUCGUUUGUCGUUCGCUCGCCGUCACCGGUCCGCGUCGUCCCGCUCACCAUCCGCGUCAUUCGGUAUAAAACGUCAAAACGCCACGCCGCGAUUCGUUGUAGAUCGAGGUGUCCGCCGUCGCUCGUGAUUAAGUGCCUGCGGAUCUGUGUGUUGUGUACCACCAGCCUGAUUAAGUGUCACCGGACUAACGGAGUGCUUCGCUCCACGAGGGAGGGAUCGGAGUAACCGGAGCGAACCGGAGAGGAGACUUUCUCAACCCCCAAGCUGUCCCGAGACGCGCACCAUUUUCCCCGGCUGUGAUGCUGCGGUCGGCGGAUCACCUUCUUCUGCAUCCGAGCGGCGAGAUCGCGCUCCGAUUAUGAUGUGAGCUGCUGAAGGUGGGAUUCUCAGGAACCGCGAGGUCCUCGCAAUGGAGGCGGGACCAAAACAGCAGCAGCAGCCGCCGCAACAACAGCAACAGCAGCAGCAGCAGCA